GGCAACCCUGACGGAGCAACGCCGCGUGUGGGAGGACGGCCUUCGGGUUGUAAACCACUUUUCUCAGGGAAGAAGGACUGGCGGUACCUGAGGAAUCAGCCUCGGCUAACUCCGUGCCAGCAGCCGCGGUAAUACGGAGGAGGCAAGCGUUAUCCGGAAUUAUUGGGCGUAAAGCGUCCGCAGGGGGCACAUCAAGUCUGCUGUUAAAGGCUGGAGCUUAACUCCGGUAGAGCAGUGGAAACUGGUGUGCUAGAGGGCGACAGGGGUAGAGGGAAUUCCCAGUGUAGCGGUGAAAUGCGUAGAGAUUGGGAAGAACACCGGUGGCGAAAGCGCUCUACUGGGUCGCACCUGACCCUCAGGGACGAAAGCUAAGGUAGCG
rnacentral:rRNA from 1 species